AGUGGAAUAGCUGGGUCAUAUCGGUUCUACUCAUAGUUUUUAAGGAAUCUCCACAUUGCUUUCCAGAGUUGCUGUAAUAAUUUGCAGUCCCACAAAUAAU
rnacentral:pre_miRNA from 1 species